UGUGUGUAUUUUUAUUUUUUAUUUUUAUUAAGGAUCGACCGAUUAUCGGUCUGGCUGAUAUCAACUGAUAUUCUGAAUUUUCAGCAAUAAUGGUAUUGGCCUAUAAAAGAUACCAAUAUCGCAGAUAAUGCAGACCAGGGCCGCCAUCAGGGACGACUGAGGCGGUUGUCAUGGGCCCGGGGGGCUCGCAGCACGCUCUUACUUCCCUUCUCAGCAGCUCCCUUCAGUUACCCUGUCUAAAUCUCGCGAGUCCUGUGACUGUCAGAGCAUUGCCGCGGGUUACCAUGGCAACGCUUCUCGCGGCACACAGGCCGCUAGAGUUAGAAUGGGGGAACUGCUGGGAAGGGAAGUAAGAUUGUUUCUGGGCCCCCUAUACAGAGUCCAUGCCACCGGACCACCAGGGAAUGCCAUACACCCCCCCGCCCCCUCCCUGGCCAGCUAAG